CCCUUUUGCCAGAAGAGAAGAAAGCCCAUGUCUGCUGUGGGAAGCCUUCCUGAAUCAAGGACACUAUUAUGCUCAAAGCUAUAAAAUACCCUUCCUUUGUUACAGCUCCAGGAAGCUGCUGCUAGAGAUUAUUCGAACUACUAUAAACAACUCCAUUAAAGCUUCUGAGCUCACCAAUGACUCUUGUAAGGUCCUGGAUAAAAAGAUCAAUUUUUUUUUUUUUUCCUUUUUUGAGAAAAGGAAAGAGAGAGAGAGAGUCUGGCAAAAAUAUUGCAAGCUUCUAAUAAUAAAAUGACCUACAAAACCUGAAGGAUAAAGCAUCCCUUAUUCGCUCAGGAAUGCAAAUUCCUUCAAC
rnacentral:lncRNA from 1 species